CCUACGGGAGGCUGCAGUGAGGAAUAUUGGUCAAUGGGCGCGAGCCUGAACCAGCCAAGUCGCGUGAGGGAAGACGGCCCUACGGGUUGUAAACCUCUUUUGCCGGGGAGCAACGGGCGCCACGUGUGGCGUCACUGAGAGUACCCGCAGAAACAGCAUCGGCUAACUCCGUGCCAGCAGCCGCGGUAAUACGGAGGAUGCGAGCGUUAUACGGAAUUAUUGGGCUUAAAGGGAGCGUAGGAGGGUUGUUAAGUCAGCUGUGAAAGUUUGCGGCUCAACCGUAAAAUUGCAGUUGAAACUGGCAGUCUUGAGUGCGGUAGAGGUGGGCGGAAUUCGUGGUGUAGCGGUAAAAUGCGUAGAUAUCACGAAGAACUCCGAUUGCGAAGGCAAUUCACUGGACUGCAACUGACGCUGAGGCUCGAAAGUGUGGGUAUCAAACAGGAUUAGAUACCCCUGUAGUC
rnacentral:rRNA from 1 species